ensembl:snoRNA
AAUGUGGUUAAUGAUGCUCAACUUUUUUCCCCAUCUUAUCGACAAUGGUGAACCCAGUCUGAAAUAAGCCAAUUUGUCUGAAACCACAUU